rnacentral:misc_RNA from 1 species
GUGAACCAGCGGAGGGAUCAUUACCGAGUUUACAACUCCCAAACCCCUGUGAACAUACCACUUGUUGCCUCGGCGGAUCAGCCCGCUCCCGGUAAAACGGGACGGCCCGCCAGAGGACCCCUAAACUCUGUUUCUAUAUGUAACUUCUGAGUAAAACCAUAAAUAAAUCAAAACUUUCAACAACGGAUCUCUUGGUUCUGGCAUCGAUGAAGAACGCAGCAAAAUGCGAUAAGUAAUGUGAAUUGCAGAAUUCAGUGAAUCAUCGAAUCUUUGAACGCACAUUGCGCCCGCCAGUAUUCUGGCGGGCAUGCCUGUUCGAGCGUCAUUUCAACCCUCAAGCACAGCUUGGUGUUGGGACUCGCGUUAAUUCGCGUUCCCCAAAUUGAUUGGCGGUCACGUCGAGCUUCCAUAGCGUAGUAGUAAAACCCUCGUUACUGGUAAUCGUCGCGGCCACGCCGUUAAACCCCAACUUCUGAAUGUUGACCUCGGAUCAGGUAGGAAUACCCGCUGAACCUAAGCAUAUCA